rnacentral:rRNA from 1 species
UACGUAGGUGGCAAGCGUUGUCCGGAUUUACUGGGCGUAAAGAGCGCGCAGGCGGUCGUUCAAGUCGCGUGUGAAAGCCCCCGGCUCAACUGGGGAGGGUCACGCGAUACUGAUCGACUCGAAGGCAGGAGAGGGAAGUGGAAUUCCCGGUGUAGUGGUGAAAUGCGUAGAGAUCGGGAGGAACACCUGUGGCGAAGGCGGCCGACUGGGCCGACCCUGACGCUGAGGCGCGAAGG